AGUCGAGGGGCAGCGCGGGUAGCAAUACUUGGCGGCGACCGGCAAACGGGUGCGGAACACGUACGCAACCUUCCCAAAACUGGGGAAUAGCCCUCCGAAAGGAGGAUUAAUACCCCGUAACACAAUUAAGAGGCAUCUCUUGAUUGUUAUAGCUCAGGCGGUUUUGGAUGGGCGUGCGGCUGAUUAGGUAGUUGGCGGGGUAACGGCCCACCAAGCCAUCGAUCAGUAACUGGUGUGAGAGCACGACCAGUCACACGGGCACUGAGACACGGGCCCGACUCCUACGGGAGGCAGCAGUAAGGAAUAUUGGUCAAUGGACGCAAGUCUGAACCAGCCAUGCCGCGUGAAGGAUGAAGGCCCUCUGGGUUGUAAACUUCUUUUAUCUGGGACGAAAAAAGGGGAUUCUUCCUCACUUGACGGUACCAGAGGAAUAAGCACCGGCUAACUCCGUGCCAGCAGCCGCGGUAAUACGGAGGGUGCAAGCGUUAUCCGGAUUCACUGGGUUUAAAGGGUGCGUAGGUGGGCAGGUAAGUCAGUGGUGAAAUCUUCGAGCUUAACUCGGAAACUGCCAUUGAUACUAUCUGUCUUGAAUAUCCUGGAGGUGAGCGGAAUAUGUCAUGUAGCGGUGAAAUGCUUAGAUAUGACAUAGAACACCAAUUGCGAAGGCAGCUCACUACGGGAUGAUUGACGCUGAGGCACGAAAGCGUGGGGAUCAAACAGGAUUAGAUACCCUGGUAGUCCACGCCCUAAACGAUGGAUACUCGACAUAUGCGAUACACUGUAUGUGUCUGAGCGAAAGCAUUAAGUAUCCCACCUGGGAAGUACGACCGCAAGGUUGAAACUCAA
rnacentral:rRNA from 1 species